rnacentral:rRNA from 1 species
UACAGAGGGUGCGAGCGUUAAUCGGAAUUACUGGGCGUAAAGCGUGCGUAGACGGUCAAGUAAGUCGGGUGUGAAAGCCCCGGGCUCAACCUGGGAAUUGCAUUCGAGACUGCGUGGCUAGGGUGCGGAAGAGGGAAGCGGAAUUUCCGGUGUAGCGGUGAAAUGCGCAGAUAUCGGGAGGAACACCAGUGGCGAAGGCGGCACUCUGGGCCGGUACUGACGCUGAGGAGCGAAAGCGUGGGGAGCGAACAGG